rnacentral:lncRNA from 1 species
CAUCGGCUCUGCUUUGUACCACUCGCUUCUGUUCCCACUGGGUCCCCGCCAGGUGCCGUUCUAGUUCCUCUGUGCGGUCACAGACUGCAGGCGACAUCCCUGCUGCCCUGUGGAACUUACGUUUUACCGAGGAGAUGAUGAAAAUAACAUAGAUUAUUCAUUCUGUGGGAAGCCAAGCACCAUGGCAUAAGGACACUCAGCUCCUUAUGGACUGGUCCAUGUGGUGAGGACCAGAAGCUGUCUGAGUGAGCCAUCCUGGAAAGGAAUGUUCCAGCUCCAGGUGACUACAGGCCUGGCUAACAGCAUGACUGCAACCUCAUCGAAGAUGUGAGCAGGAACCACCCAGCUGUGCCGCUCCGGACUGACCCAUAGAAACUGUGAGAGAUAAAUGUCUAUUGUUAUGGGAGGCUAAAUUGUGGGGUAAUUUGUCUUGUAGCACUAGAAUUCUAACAUACUCAUGAUCUGGCCACUUGCAGUCCUCCACACUCAUCUCCUAACUUAGCCAUUGUUUACUCCAUUCCGAUCCUGCCCCUCUCGCUAAUCCUUUCAUUCUCGUUGCGGGAA